rnacentral:sRNA from 1 species
AUGAACAAAUUGAAAAAUAUGUUUUCUGUAAAUGCUAAAUAUGUUGCGGAAAAGAACUAAUCAAUGAGUGUAGUGAAAAAAUGUUUUUAUGCUGUCUGUGUGUUUAUGGAUGGUAGUUAGCAAAGAAACAGGGAGUACGGAGAGUACAGGGAGUAUACUCCCUCUGUUUCUUUUCAGUACAACAACAAAUACGUGUAAAUGUGUAUUAGACAACUGCAAGUUUGGCACUACAAUUUUUUUGUGAGAUAGUCAAAGGUGACUAAUUGAGGAAGAAGCGUAGCAGCACUUGUUUCAAGAUGUUGGCUCAACUAGGCCAUAAAUCCUAAGCAAAUCUUAACCCUGAGGACCCUUUAUUAACAGAUAUAAUAAAAAUUGGACUUUUCCAUAAUGCUGAAAAUCUAAUGAGAUAUCGAGUGAAUAACAAACAUAUCACAUGCUAUGAAGAUUUCGUGCUACCACUGAACCGCUUAGAAUUGGGUCAUCGGAAACCCUACGCCAAUAUAUUCUUGAAGCAGCUUGGCAAUACUGCAAAUCUGAUCAAUUUUUUUUUU